rnacentral:rRNA from 1 species
UGGGGAAUUUUCCGCAAUGGGCGAAAGCCUGACGGAGCGAUGCCGCGUGGAGGUGGAAGGCCUACGGGUCGUCAACUUCUUUUCUCGGAGAAGAAACAAUGACGGUAUCUGAGGAAUAAGCAUCGGCUAACUCUGUGCUAG